rnacentral:rRNA from 1 species
GGUUAAGCGACUAAGCGUACACGGUGGAUGCCCUGGCAGUCAGAGGCGAUGAAGGACGUGCUAAUCUGCGAUAAGCGUCGGUAAGGUGAUAUGAACCGUUAUAACCGGCGAUUUCCGAAUGGGGAAACCCAGUGUGUUUCGACACACUAUCAUUAACUGAAUCCAUAGGUUAAUGAGGCGAACCGGGGGAACUGAAACAUCUAAGUACCCCGAGGAAAAGAAAUCAACCGAGAUUCCCCCAGUAGCGGCGAGCGAACGGGGAGGAGCCCAGAGCCUGAAUCAGUGUGUGUGUUAGUGGAAGCGUCUGGAAAGGCGCGCGAUACAGGGUGACAGCCCCGUACACAAAAAUGCACAUGCUGUGAGCUCGAUGAGUAGGGCGGGACACGUGGUAUCCUGUCUGAAUAUGGGGGGACCAUCCUCCAAGGCUAAAUACUCCUGACUGACCGAUAGUGAACCAGUACCGUGAGGGAAAGGCGAAAAGAACCCCGGCGAGGGGAGUGAAAAAGAACCUGAAACCGUGUACGUACAAGCAGUGGGAGCACGCUUAGGCGUGUGACUGCGUACCUUUUGUAUAAUGGGUCAGCGACUUAUAUUCUGUAGCAAGGUUAACCGAAUAGGGGAGCCGAAGGGAAACCGAGUCUUAACUGGGCGUUAAGUUGCAGGGUAUAGACCCGAAACCCGGUGAUCUAGCCAUGGGCAGGUUGAAGGUUGGGUAACACUAACUGGAGGACCGAACCGACUAAUGUUGAAAAAUUAGCGGAUGACUUGUGGCUGGGGGUGAAAGGCCAAUCAAACCGGGAGAUAGCUGGUUCUCCCCGAAAGCUAUUUAGGUAGCGCCUCGUGAACUCAUCUCCGGGGGUAGAGCACUGUUUCGGCAAGGGGGUCAUCCCGACUUACCAACCCGAUGCAAACUGCGAAUACCGGAGAAUGUUAUCACGGGAGACACACGGCGGGUGCUAACGUCCGUCGUGAAGAGGGAAACAACCCAGACCGCCAGCUAAGGUCCCAAAGUCAUGGUUAAGUGGGAAACGAUGUGGGAAGGCCCAGACAGCCAGGAUGUUGGCUUAGAAGCAGCCAUCAUUUAAAGAAAGCGUAAUAGCUCACUGGUCGAGUCGGCCUGCGCGGAAGAUGUAACGGGGCUAAACCAUGCACCGAAGCUGCGGCAGCGACGCUUAUGCGUUGUUGGGUAGGGGAGCGU